AGAGUUUGAUCCUGGCUCAGGAUGAACGCUAGCUACAGGCUUAACACAUGCAAGUCGAGGGGCAGCAUCAUCAAAGCUUGCUUUGAUGGAUGGCGACCGGCGCACGGGUGAGUAACACGUAUCCAACCUGCCGACAACACUGGGAUAGCCUUUCGAAAGAAAGAUUAAUACCGGAUGGUAUAGUUUUCCCGCAUGGGGUGACUAUUAAAGAAUUUCGGUUGUCGAUGGGGAUGCGUUCCAUUAGGCAGUUGGCGGGGUAACGGCCCACCAAACCAACGAUGGAUAGGGGUUCUGAGAGGAAGGUCCCCCACAUUGGAACUGAGACACGGUCCAAACUCCUACGGGAGGCAGCAGUGAGGAAUAUUGGUCAAUGGACGAGAGUCUGAACCAGCCAAGUAGCGUGAAGGAUGACUGCCCUAUGGGUUGUAAACUUCUUUUAUACGGGAAUAAAGUGAGCCACGUGUGGCUUUUUGUAUGUACCGUAUGAAUAAGGAUCGGCUAACUCCGUGCCAGCAGCCGCGGUAAUACGGAGGAUCCGAGCGUUAUCCGGAUUUAUUGGGUUUAAAGGGAGCGUAGGCGGGUUGUUAAGUCAGUUGUGAAAGUUUGCGGCUCAACCGUAAAAUUGCAGUUGAUACUGGCGACCUUGAGUGCAACAGAGGUAGGCGGAAUUCGUGGUGUAGCGGUGAAAUGCUUAGAUAUCACGAAGAACUCCGAUUGCGAAGGCAGCUUACCGGAUUGUAACUGACGCUGAUGCUCGAAAGUGUGGGUAUCAAACAGGAUUAGAUACCCUGGUAGUCCACACAGUAAACGAU
rnacentral:rRNA from 1 species